UACGGAGGGUGCAAGCGUUAUCCGGAUUCACUGGGUUUAAAGGGUGCGUAGGUGGGUCUGUAAGUCAGUGGUGAAAUCUCCGUGCUUAACAUGGAAACUGCCAUUGAUACUAUAGAUCUUGAAUUUUCUGGAGGUAAGCGGAAUAUGUCAUGUAGCGGUGAAAUGCUUAGAUAUGACAUAGAACACCAAUUGCGGAGGCAGCUUACUACGGGAACAUUGACACUGAGGCACGAAAGCGUGGGGAUCAAACAGG
rnacentral:rRNA from 1 species